UGUUUGGAGCGUCCCCCUGCUGCUGCUGCUGCUGCUCUGAGACAGACUCUGGAGAAAGUGGCUCCUUCUCUUCCUGGGAGAGACACUGAUUGAAGAUGAUGCCCCUAAGUUGUAUCGCAGAAAAUGAAGCAUGGCUCCUGGAGGCUGCGCGCACCCCGGGCGAGGAGCAUCUCUCACCCGGACAGCGGGGAUCCAACCGCACUCAGGGCUCGCUUUGUUAAUCUUCCAAAUCCUUCAGGCCAGAGCACAAUCCCUUGCAGAGGCCUGAAUCAGAGCACCAACAGGAAAUGAAGGGGAGAAGAGAGCCGCACUCAUUAACCUUUUCCUUUCAAUCAGGCCAGUACCAAACUUCUCGCCUGUAACUCUCAAAGCUCUCACCGAAUCAGGGUCUCGGAGAUGAGUAAAUGAAGGAGCUGAAAACAGUUGAGUGACUUGCCCGAGGUCACCCCCACCCUAAGUUUCUGGUCCCAACACCGCAAUCCCCUCCAUUUCAUCCUCUGUCUUCAGUAGAGGCUCCAGGAAGGAGAUAUUCAGCCUGCCCGACUCUUUUGUUUUGAAUAAAAAGUCACAUCUGCUUAGGCAUCACUGUGGUUGCACCUUCUUCCCCCAAUUAAUGACAGGGACACUUUCCUUUGUGAAAGUGAAACCCCAAGUUUCUCUCCAUGAUGGCAGAGGGAGAGUGAAUGCCCAGCAA
rnacentral:lncRNA from 10 species